ensembl:snoRNA small nucleolar RNA SNORD113/SNORD114 family
UGAAUCCGUGAUGACUGCUGGUGCUGUAUGAGCCGUGGAUCAUGACUACAGGUCUGGAAGUCUGAGAUUCAC